CUCCUCGUCAACGUUUCACGGGAAGAAUGCCUCCCUAGUAGAUAGAAGAUUGUCUAUCAAACAUGUCCAAUAAUUAAUGCCAUUCUAUAUUUCUCAUCAUUCAUUAAAAGCUAUACAUGGGAAAAUCAUCGUGUAUGCUAUUUAUUCACAUAUAAAGCACAUUAAGCAGACCAACAGAGGGAUCAUCAAGAUGAUAAUCUACACAAAUCAUAAAUGAGAUUUAGUUUAAUCCAAUCCAUUUAAUGAAGGACGGAACAACAUGACAGAUAAUAAAUACAACACAAC